rnacentral:lncRNA from 1 species
GAAGGUCGCACGUUCUCUCCUUCUCGCCCCGUCCCACCGUCACACCCGGGGCUCGUGGCGCUGUCGGGGGCGGCAGUGCCGCGGUGUUUCCGAGGGACGGAGGGGGACGAGGGGUUUUGCUUUCCGCCUUCCCCCGACGGGGGCGGCUUUUUGCGUCGUUGUGGGAAGAGGGCGCGGGGGGAGGCUCUCCAUACGUGCGGUUCCUAAAGUUCAGCCCUAAAAACGACCCCAGGCGCUUCCCCCGAAGGAAAUCGGGGGGCUGGUGGGGAUGAAGCCGCGCUCGGGAUCGUCCUCGCCAGAAGAAAUGCAAUGUAACAACCGCAGCUCCUUGCGUUGCAUAGGAGAUUCUACUCCGGGAGAGGCGAUUUGCUACCAGAAGUCCUGCUCAGAUGAAGGAAAAGCCUCACUUUUCCCCAUUGAUUUUGAUUUGAUGUGUCACGGGCUGUGACCUUCUGCUGGACCUUCCGAGGGUUGCUUAGCAUCAAGCCACUGAUUGGAGUAUUUCAACUCAGUGAUCUAAUUGAGUGUUCAUGUCAUAACAUAGCGAAUAUUGUCUGGUCUCCCAUAAUGAAGCGGACCAGCCAAUGGCACAUCACCAAAAACUUCAAGAGAGCUUCCGUUCCUCUGAAGUGGGAGCCGCGUUCCUGCCCACCUCCCCGUGCGCUCCCAGCCCGCUUAAUUGGAGCGCUGCUGCUGAUGAACGGCCUUUGCUCGGGGGAAGAGGGGGGAAGGUUCUCUCCAUUCAUUUGCAGACGGCAGAGCCGCCCAAAUUGACCCAAUUAGACGGAAGGGCUGCGCUUCACCGACGGAGCGGCCGCGCAGGAGCUGGGAGCGGCCGCUCGUGCGGCGGCAGAAAGGAGCGCAAAUCCCGCUCGCAGUUCGCCUGUGCGGCGUGUUUAUGCAAAACAGCGGGUUUCUGGGUGGACCGAGAGCUGCAGCGCAGUGCAAUCUGCGCAGCGCCUUUGCCCAGGCGGUGUUGUCGUUGGCAAGAGGAAAAUGAAAUAUAAGCAGGGAAGCAUUUUAAUGGGGAAGGAGGGAAUUCACAACUGUUAAUUAUUUGGUGACCUUGUAUUCGAUUUGUUUGAGCCCCUUAUAAAAACACUAAUGCAGACCAGACGGCCGGAGCACGCCGCGGCAGCCGCCUCCAAACAGAGCCGGGCGCCCGGGGAAGAAGCGAGCGGCCCGGCCCGGCCCGGCCCGACCCGACCCGACCCGGCUCGGCUCGGCUCGGCUCGGCCGUAUUGCUACCGCUCUGCCGAAGCGGAGCGAAGGGAGCAGGGGCUGCUCGGGGCUGGGGAGGGAAGCAGAUCGUCUCCAAAGCCGCUACGAGACCAAACUUUGUGAAAAACACUGAUUUCGGAAGGGGUUUCUUUUUCUUUCUUUUUUACUUUCUUUCUUUCUU